rnacentral:rRNA from 1 species
GACGUAGGGGGCGAGCGUUCUCCGGAUUUACUGGGCGUAAAGGGCAUGCAGGCGGUGCAGCAAGUCUCUGCUGACAGUCACGAGCUUAACUCGUGAAGGCGUAGGGAAACUACUGAACUGGAGAGAGCGAGAGGCAGAGGGAAUUCCGUGUGGAGCAGUGAAAUGCGUAGAGAUGCGGAAGAACACCAGAGGCGAAGGCGCUCUGCUGGCGCUCGUCUGACGCUAAGAUGCGAAAGCUAGGGGAG